AGGUGCUGUUGCUGCCCUAGGCACGCCGAGGAACAGAGGAGGGCAGGUAUCUUCUGGGCAGCCUCCGGAGUCAAAUCAAGAUUUGAGGUACCCAGAGGAGCCUCAUAGCCAAAGCUUGGAAACGGCAGCACCGAAGCACACACGGAGAGCAUCUCAAUAUCCACGUGCGACCGAG